GUCACACUGGGCAGACAUCACGUCCUGCUGCAGCUGAGGAGGCAGAGCUGAGCGCAGAGGGAAGGGGAGGAGAAAGGCUCACCGCACAAACCACUGGAGUCUUCCAAACCAGAGGUGACUGUGGAGCUCAGCAACUGCCCAGUGAGCUGGGAAAAGAUGGUGCAGCUGAAGAAGAGCUUUAUAGUCUUCAUCGUGUUGCUCUCAGUGGCUCUUGUGCUUUCUGCAGGACUGCCCUGUCAGAACGGUCACCGUGGACAAAGGGACUCCUGGAGAAGCUGCAAUGUGUAUUUCCAGCAGGACUGAAAACCUUCUGGAGCCACCAUUGACACACAAAGAACUUCCCAGACCUAUGACUGCAAAGAGAGUUGUCUCUGCAGGAUUUUACCCUUCUUCUGGACUGCCAGCCUUCCUGAUACUAUUCUGCAUAUAUCUUAGCAGAAAUCACCAGUUUUCUUCUCUCCUUUGCAUUUGGGAACCAUUCCUGGGGGCUCUCCCCUCAGCCCAGUGGUACU